CAUCACCAUUCUACAGGAAGACACAGUCCAGUAAUGGGUGUCAGAAGUUCAGUAGUGAACGACAGGAAGGACUGAUGCAUUUACUGAGACGGGACGUGAGGGCCUACUCUGUGUGCUCAGAGUUCAAGCCCAGGAGGCUGCAGCGGGCCUGACAUAUUCCGGAACAGCAGCACAGUCUUUGGAUGACUCCUCUGAAGAUGAAAACAUGGCGAGUUCUUCUCAAGAGAAGCAGUACAGGUGUGCCUCAGCUCCACGGUCCCUCCUGCAGCCUCCGCUCCUGAUGCUAACCUCAUGUCUCCAUCACACCAAGCAGCAGACCUGGAGUGACAGACCUUUCUCCAGAGCUGCCCCCUCCCUCUGAAACCCCCCUCUCCAAAAAACUAUUUGUGGCAUUUUUAAAGUCUUAUUUGCAUGAGAAUUGUUGAUCAUAACAUUUCCAGCAGAUGCCUUAAUGUAAUGUUUGUGAACAAUAAAUGACAUUGAUCAUAA